CAGAGGCAGCAGAUGAAGAGAUCUUGGUGGUUGUGGCCAAGGGUUAUUUUGCUUGACUCUUGGGGGAUCUACCGCAGAGAGAGAUGCAGGUGUAAGCAAUCACUCCAUCCAGUCAGCCCAAGAGAGAAGUGAGUCCAUGGUGAUGCCCAGGAAAUGACUGCAGAAUAACAAAAUGCAUGUUCAGAAGGGACAACAGCAGGAGGAGGAAAAAGGGCUAUUAGCCCAAUGCUGGUAGAUCUUGGAUAUUGUUGGAAGACUGUGUUUCCUGAAAGACUGUGGUAACUUCUUAACUUGUUCAAACAGAUUGGCAUAAAUCAUGAGCUUUCCAAAGUCAAAGGUGCAAGCUGUCUCUAAGUAUCUACAUCUUGUAAUGAUUUGAAAAAAAUUAGAACUAGAGCUUUCUAGAAGACACCUUCUCAUAUAUUAUCAAAAGACUUUACUCAAUGUAUUUUUAAAUACAAAUGAUCACCACAAAGCUCAGUGAUCCUAAUGAGAAACUGGAGUUUCCAAAUUAAUAGAUUAAUAAAUGUUUUUAGAAGAAAAUGGAAAAAGCCCAAAGGAAUUAUUAAAAGUAGUAGUCUUUUCUUAACAUAUUUUAAAUAUUUCAACUGUAUUAAAAGACAGACCCAUAAUUCUUAUGUCACACUAGCUUCUAAAAAGAGGGAUGUCAAUCACAAAGAUUAAGGACUCUCUAUACUGAAAACAGAGAACUUCCCAGAAGCAGAGAUCCUCUCGAAUCUACUUGUCUUUGAAAAACACGGGGUAGAUUAAUAUAUCCUCUUUCUCUCCUUUUUUUUUUUUGUUUUAUUUGCUUGUCAAAAGAUUAUUUAGUGGCAUUUAUUCCCCUCCUGCACUGCUCCCACUACUCAGUCCCCAGCUCUCAGCCCUUCCACAGUCUCUCAAUCACAAACAAAAGGCACAAUGGAGAAACUAAUAAAAGAACUAUGUUACUGUUCUCUGGAAUAAAUCAAAAUUUAUAUGUCCUAAGGAUAGAAGGCUCAGAUUAAAAUAUGUUUGAGACUCAGAGGAUUUACAAUAUGUUUGGCAUUCCAGUUUCAGAGAGAAAAUGGACCAAUAUGUUAGGGGAAUACUGAGGAUAUUUUAGCAGUUAUCGUCUCUCAUGCUUUUCUUCAUGAGUGUCAGUGUGAGAAAGCCAGGGAAAGCUGCUGUCCGUGAUAACCACGGAAAAGGAAAAAAUAUUCCCCAUGUUUCAAAACCAAUUCCCCGACUCUAGUCCUAAAGUGAUGGGGAACUAAGCACAACUGAGAGCCUCAGCAGUUUGUUACCUGAUAUAAAGAGAAGAUACCAUCCUAGUUCACGGCCUUUUUCUAUGUACAACUUUAAGGCAACUAACUUCUCCACUUUAAAAGUUAUGGCCAUAAAGGACUAGUUAACAGUUCACUGGAACCACCUUGCCUUUACUACCAACAGUAACAAAGUAUUUCAGUAACUUAAGGCCUAAAUAAAAUAAAAGUUAGCCACUUUAAAUAAUACUGUGGAUAUUUGUAAUAGAAUAAGUUUGAAAAGGCAUCCUUCAAACAGUCAUGGCUAGGUUUCCCAUCUCAAUCAGGGUUAAUUUAAAGUUUGCAAUCUAGGUAGAGAAGUCACUGAAUUAAAAAGAAACAUAUUUUAAGUUUGCUGUAAUUUUUUUCCCAGGAAAAAUUGGCAUCUACCUAACAACUGCAUUGUAGUCUCUUCGUGUAUAAUGGCUUUGUAGUGUAAGCAUUUAAUGUUUGCCUAUAUAGCACAACUCUAAGCAUUUUCAUUUCUUAAAUGUCAUUAAAUUAUCAGAGUGAUUGUAAUGCAACAUUUCAUGGUACAGUAACUAGAUGAAAUGCCAUAUUAUCUGCCCCAAGAACAACUGAUAGUGCCCCUUCCUGUUCAUUCAGCAAUUCACUUGCACAGUUUGCGUGGGAAAAAGAUGAUAGGUCAGUAUUAUGCAGUAUCUGUAAUUCUAAGGACCAUGGUUUAUUUAAUAGCACUGUCAGUCAAGAUCUAUGGCUUGAAGAAAUCUCAAGAGUUCAUUGUUAAUGCCACAGAGUUCAUAGGACAAUUUUCAGAAUAGUUACUUCCUUAUAAAUAGAAAAAUCUUGGGGUCAAUAAAUUGGUAUAUGUUACACUACAUUAAAAUCAUUUCUGCUAUAUCCGCUCUUGUCCCUACUUAUGUCAUUAAAAAAUUCACAUGAG
rnacentral:lncRNA from 10 species